rnacentral:tRNA from 1 species
GCCCGGGUGGCUCAGCGGUUGAGCAUCUGCCUUCGGGCUGAUGGCGUGACCCCAGGGUCUUGGGAUCGAGUCCCACAUCGGGCU